GACGAACGCUGGCGGCGUGCCUAAUACAUGCAAGUUGAGCGAUGAAGAUUGGUGCUUGCACCAAUUUGAAGAGCAGCGAACGGGUGAGUAACGCGUGGGGAAUCUGCCUUUGAGCGGGGGACAACAUUUGGAAACGAAUGCUAAUACCGCAUAACAACUUUAAACAUAAGUUUUAAGUUUGAAGGAUGCAAUUGCAUCACUCAAAGAUGAUCCCGCGUUGUAUUAGCUAGUUGGUGAGGUAAAGGCUCACCAAGGCGAUGAUACAUAGCCGACCUGAGAGGGUGAUCGGCCACAUUGGGACUGAGACACGGCCCAAACUCCUACGGGAGGCAGCAGUAGGGAAUCUUCGGCAAUGGACGAAAGUCUGACCGAGCAACGCCGCGUGAGUGAAGAAGGGUUUCGGAUCGUAAAACUCUGUUGGUAGGGAAGAACGUUGGUGAGAGUGGAAAGCUCAUCAAGUGACGGUAACUACCCAGAAAGGGACGGCUAACUACGUG
rnacentral:rRNA from 1 species